rnacentral:misc_RNA from 1 species
UUAACUAUUAAAUAGUACUCAGACAUCACUAACUAUAGAAUUUGGUCCUCUGGCAGGCACGGUAAGCCGGGGCCUACACAGUAAACUGUGGCCUGCCAAAGCAACUAAGGUAUAUUAAACAAGAAUGUUGGAUCGCAUGCAAGAAUCGAGUCAGGCUGGUUCACCAGCUUCAGGGUUUCGGAGGGUUUCACCCCAGCCUACUCCCCCUAAUCCUGAUGGCCAUCCCGAUCGUUUACAGCGUCUCUGUGGGGUUCAUUUCACUCUAGCAUUUCAGCCUUCGCUAAUUCCCACGGCCAGUAGCCCAUUAUUAAUGAUCCUUCCGCAGGUUCACCUACGGAAA